rnacentral:rRNA from 1 species
AUGUGCUCCCAAGCCCCCAAAUCCCUAGACCUAGACCUAGACCUCGACCCCGAAUCCGAACCCUGCCCCGGCGUGACGACGACGGCCGAGCUCACCGACGGAGCGGAGAACCCCUGCUUGUCGCGGUUUCGCCACCGGCGGCUCCUCGCCUUCCUCUCGCGCCAGCGCUACGAUGUCGCCUUCAACGGGCUGAUGCUGCAGGCGGGUGAGCCCUUCUGCCUGGAGCAUCUGCAGGGGCUCGUGAGGAAGGGCCUGUGGGAGGACGCCAUCGACUACCUCGAUGGCUUCCUGCCUGCCGGCCCCAGGAGCCUCCACGCCCACGCCUUCCGCAACUUCCUCCUGAUGCACCACUACUUGGCCAGCAUCGCCGCCGGGAACGAGUCCGCCGUGGACAAGCUCCGGGCCCACCAUUGGAUUCAGCACGUCGUUGAUGCCUGGAAAACGAAAGCGAGCCACACAUUUCCUCGUGUCAUGGCCCAAGUUCUGCUCUCGUCGGAGCAGCUCAGGGCGUCCAUGGACUGGGAUGGAGUGAGGAGGGAGGCUGCGUACAUCCUCUCCAGGUUAGCUUCGAGGACCCCAGAGCUCAACAGGCCGCUCACAUUGCCGACUCGCUACACGAAGCCGCACCAAGUGCUUCCCAUUGACGCUGGCUCUGGAUUGUGCAGGCGGUGGCGCGUGAAGGAACAGCGUCCCCAUCUACGACCCGCUGCUGUUGCCAGGGCCAUCCUUUUUAGGGGGAGUCAGCGUUACACAAGAUCUCUAGCCAACUCAAGUUUCAAAUUCAUUGAGGAUGCAAAGGAAUGGUUUGCGACUAUCAUGGAUGAAAGCUUACGAGCUGGUUCAGGUAAAGCGACUUCCCUGCUACAACAAAUUAUGAAGGAAGGUGCUCCUGUUGCUCCAGUUUCGAUUGCAAGUCCUGCUAAAAGUUCUGGUACCUCAUCAUUGACAAAUGCAGGUGCUCCUGUUGCUUCAGUGUGCCAGACUCUGAACAUGACAAGAGACGCUGAAAACUAUGGUAUCUCAUCAGUGACAAGUCCAGGCCCAGAAAAGAGUCAAGAAGGUGCCUGUGAUGGUUUCAAUCCCAGAAAGAAUCCACGGGCAGAAUUGGCAACUAUUGAUGGAUAUUUGGAUUCAAAAAGGCAACGUACUACUGGGACUUUUGGGGAAGCAAGUAUGGUGCCGGUGAAUGAAGUUUGGGCUGAAGCUCACUAG